GGUGUCUAUCGGCUGUAACAGCAACUCCAUGUGGAAGCAUGAGGCAGUUCCCGUGGGGGGGCUGUUAUUUUGGAUGGGCACU
rnacentral:pre_miRNA from 1 species